CGCGUGGAUAACCUGCCUCACACAGGGGGAUAACAGUUGGAAACGGCUGCUAAUACCGCAUAAGCGCACAGCACCGCAUGGUGCAGUGUGAAAAACUCCGGUGGUGUGAGAUGGAUCCGCGUCUGAUUAGCUUGUUGGCGGGGUAACGGCCCACCAAGGCGACGAUCAGUAGCCGGCCUGAGAGGGCGACCGGCCACAUUGGGACUGAGACACGGCCCAG
rnacentral:rRNA from 1 species